UACCAGCUCUCCGAGUGGUGUGGAUGUUUAUUGGGCCUAAAGCAUCCGUAGCUGGCUAAGUUAGUCCCUUGUUAAAUCCACCGAAUUAAUCGUUGGAUUGCGGGGGAUACUGCUUGGCUAGGGGACGAGAGAGGCAGACGGUAUUUUUGGGGUAGGGGUGAAAUCCUAUAAUCCCAGGAAGACCACCAGUGGCGAAGGCUGUCUGCUAGAACGCGCCCGACGGUGAGGGAUGAAAGCUGGGGGAGCGAACCGGAUUAGAUACCCGGGUAGUCCCAGCUGUAAACGAUGCAAACUAGGUGUUUGAACGGCCACGUGCCGUUCUAGUGCCGCAGGGAAGCUGUUAAGUUUGCCGCCUGGGGAGUACGAUCGCAAGAUUGAAACUCAAAUGAAUUGACGG
rnacentral:rRNA from 1 species